rnacentral:rRNA from 1 species
AGAGUUUGAUCCUGGCUCAGGAUGAACGCUGGCGGCGUGCCUAACACAUGCAAGUCGAGCGAGAAAUAAAGAAAUGAAGCUUCGGUAGAUUUUCUUUAUGGAAAGCGGCGGACGGGUGAGUAACGCGUAGGCAACCUGCCCUGUACAGGGGGAUAGCCACCCGAAAAGGUGAUUAAUACCCCAUAACGCAAGAGAUACACAUGUAUCACUUGUCAAAGAUUUAUCGGUAUAGGAUGGGCCUGCGUCUGAUUAGCUAGUUGGUAGGGUAACGGCUUACCAAGGCAACGAUCAGUAGCCGACCUGAGAGGGUGAUCGGCCACAUUGGAACUGAGACACGGUCCAAACUCCUACGGGAGGCAGCAGUGGGGAAUAUUGCACAAUGGGCGCAAGCCUGAUGCAGCAACGCCGCGUGAAGGAUGAAGGCCUUCGGGUUGUAAACUUCUGUCCUAGGGGAAGAAACAAAUGACAUUACCCUUGGAGGAAGCCCCGGCUAACUACGUGCCAGCAGCCGCGGUAAUACGUAGGGGGCGAGCGUUAUCCGGAAUUAUUGGGCGUAAAGAGUGCGUAGGUGGCACCUUAAGCGCAGGGUUUAAGGCAAUGGCUCAACCAUUGUUCGCCUUGCGAACUGGGGUGCUUGAGUGCAGGAGGGGAAAGUGGAAUUCCUAGUGUAGCGGUGAAAUGCGUAGAUAUUAGGAGGAACACCAGUGGCGAAGGCGACUUUCUGGACUGUUACUGACACUGAGGCACGAAAGCGUGGGGAGCAAACAGGAUUAGAUACCCUGGUAGUCCACGCCGUAAACG